GUACUCUCUUUGGCAGCACGUAUACUGAAAUUGAAAUGACACAGAGGAGAUUAGCAUGGCCCCUGUGCAAGGAUGACAUGCAAAUUUGUGAAGCAUUCCAUAUAAUA
rnacentral:snRNA from 1 species